rnacentral:rRNA from 1 species
AUUGAACGCUGGCGGCAGGCCUAACACAUGCAAGUCGAGCGAGCGGCGGACGGGUGAGUAAUGUAUGGGGAUCUGCCCGAUAGAGGGGGAUAACUACUGGAAACGGUGGCUAAUACCGCAUACUAUCGGAGGAACCACUAUGGGAUUAGCUAGUAGGUGGGGUAACGGAGCACCUAGGCGACGAUCUCUAGCUGGUCUGAGAGGCUGAUCGGCCACACUGGGACUGAGACACGGCCCAGAUUCUUACGGGAGGCAGAAGUGGGGAAUAUGGCACAAUGGGAGCAAGCCUGAUGCAGCCAUGCCGCGUGUAUGAAGAAGGCCUUAGGGUUGUAAAAGACUUUCAGCGGGGAGGCGUUACCCGCAGAAGAAGCACCGGCUAACUCCGUGCCAGCAGCCGCGGUAAUAC